AUUGAACGCUGGCGGCAGGCUUAACACAUGCAAGUCGAACGAGUGGCGGACGGGUGAGUAAUGUCUGGGAAACUGCCUGAUGGAGGGGGAUAACUACUGGAAACGGUCGCUAAUACCGCAUACUAUCGGAUGUGCCCAGAUGGGAUGAGCUAGUAGGUGGGGUAAAGGCUCAACGAGGCGACGAUCCCUAGCUGGUCUGAGAGGAUGACCAGCAACACUGGAACUGAGGCACGGGCCAGACUCCCACGGGAGGCAGCAGUGGGGAAUAGUGCACAAUGGGCGCAAGCCUGAUGCAGCCAUGCCGCGUGUAUGAAGAAGGCCUUCAGGUUGUAAAGUACUUUCAGCAGGGAGGCGUUACCCGCAGAAGAAGCACCGGCUAACUCCGUGCCAGCAGCCGCGGUAAUUC
rnacentral:rRNA from 1 species